CGCAGCCUGAUGGAGCAACACCGCGUGAGUGAAGAAGGGUUUCGGCUCGUAAAGCUCUGUUGUUAAAGAAGAACACGUAUGAGAGUAACUGUUCAUACGUUGACGGUAUUUAACCAGAAAGUCACGGCUAACUACGUGCCAGCAGCCGCGGUAAUACGUAGGUGGCAAGCGUUAUCCGGAUUUAUUGGGCGUAAAGAGAGUGCAGGCGGUUUUCUAAGUCUGAUGUGAAAGCCUUCGGCUUAACCGGAGAAGUGCAUCGGAAACUGGAUAACUUGAGUGCAGAAGAGGGUAGUGGAACUCCAUGUGUAGCGGUGGAAUGCGUAGAUAUAUGGAAGAACACCAGUGGCGAAGGCGGCUACCUGGUCUGCAACUGACGCUGAGACUCGAAAGCAUGGGUAGCGAACAGGAUUAGAUACC
rnacentral:rRNA from 1 species